rnacentral:rRNA from 1 species
UACAGAGGUCCCAAGCGUUGUUCGGAUUCAUUGGGCGUAAAGGGUGCGUAGGCGGCGCGGUAAGUCGGGUGUGAAAUCUCGGGGCUUAACUCCGAAACUGCAUUCGAUACUGCCGUGCUUGAGGACUGGAGAGGAGACUGGAAUUUACGGUGUAGCGGUGAAAUGCGUAGAUAUCGUAAGGAAGACCAGUGGCGAAGGCGAAUCUCUGGACAGUUACUGACACUGAGGCACGAAGGCCAGGGGAGCAAGCGGG